UACGAAGGGGGCGAACGUUGUUCGGAAUUACUGGGCGUAAAGGGCGCGUAGGCGGUUCGCUAAGUUGGAUGUGAAAUCCCCGGGCUCAACCUGGGAACUGCAUUUGUGACUGCACGGCUGGAGUGCGGCAGAGGGGGAUGGAAUUCCGCGUGUAGCAGUGAAAUGCGUAGAUAUGCGGAGGAACACCGAUGGCGAAGGCAAUCCCCUGGGCCUGCACUGACGCUCAUGCACGAAAGCGUGGGGAGCAAACAGG
rnacentral:rRNA from 1 species